ensembl:lncRNA
CCUGUUUCCCUGGUGCCCUUGGAUGAUACAAUUAAAGUCUCCUGCGUUGAUGUGCUCAUGGUCUCCUCGCUCCGUGCUCCCUCACAGUAGCACCGUGACAAAUAUAUUAAUAGUUUAUUUAUUUCAGUUUUAGAUAAUUUAAUGCUUAAACUUAUUUCAAGAGAAAACCUCUUUUUUUUUUUUUUUAUCUGUUAUUUAUUUUGUGUUAAGCUUCAUUUGAAUUACCAAAAGCAAUUUUAAUAGCCGUAAUGAUUCAAUUAACCUCAACGCUGGACUCCAGUAAUUGUGGGAUGAACCAAAAUCAUUCACUUUAAAUCAGUUUCUGUCUUUCUCCAUCUGCUUGGGCUUCGAGUUCAGCUGGAAAAGGGACAUUAUUCCAUUUAUACUGUCAAAUAAAAGUUGUAACCUGAACAUCGGCAGAAUUUAUAAGCGUUUGCAGCUUUAUUCAGAAUUUACAACAUCGCUGCUGCCAGAAACACAACAUUUAGCCCAUACAGCCAAAAAGACUGAGAUAUACUCAGAAUCCCCUGUUUAGUUAUUGAUGCAUCAGAUGAAUAACUCCGCAUGUAUUUAGUAGAUUGUGAAGCUUGUUUGCUGAAUGCAUGAACCGAUAAAAUGCACAACUGAAAAUCUGCCAAAUGCAUUUUAUUUCAGUUUAUAGCUACAACCGUUCAUUCUGUUCUUGAUAUUCAUUAAUGCAUUAGUCUCUUGCUCAUGUGAUCUGACAAACAAUCACAGCUGGUGAUGACAGGAGAUUUGUGUUUUACAUGACUUUUACUCUUUUGUGAAGAUCCUCAAUCCUUUGAUCCCAGUAACUGCAGUGAUGUAGUCUGAAACAUUAUGACAAUUAAACAAACACUUGCUAAGAUGAAAAGUGUUACACGAGCUCCAGUCGGACCCAACAAUAACAAAGAUUCAAUCGCUUCACGCACUCUCUUAAUGUGGGAAAGUGUUUGGAAAAUCAUGAACUGCGAUUCUGAGCCACACAAAUCUGUUUACAUUCAAUCAACAAACGCAAGAGCAGAUUUCCACAUCCCACAUUCUCCGCUGGUCAUAUCGGAGCACUUCAGACGAUUUUUCCAAGAGAACGCACUAAAAACAAGUCAAGUGGCACAUGUUCCUUAAUGACAUCAUCUAUCAUCCUGCAGGAAGUGACAUUAUUUUGGAGGGAAAUCCACAUCAACCCAGUAGCAGUAAAUGAACCUGGAUCGGACGUCUCACUGCUUCCUUCGGCA